CAAUAAGCGGAGGAAAAGAAACCAACAGGGAUUGCCCCAGUAACGGCGAGUGAAGCGGCAACAGCUCAAAUUUGAAAUCUGGCCCUCCCCUGGGGGGCCCGAGUUGUACUUUGGAGAGGAUGCUUUGGGCGCGGCGCCUUCCGAGUUCCUUGGAACAGGACGCCAGAGAGGGUGAGAGCCCCGUACGGUCGGACGCCUAGCCCGUGUAAAGCUCCUUCGAACGAGUCGAGUAGUUUGGGAAUGCUGCUCAAAAUGGGAGGUAAAUUUCUUCUAAAGCUAAAUACCGGCCAGAGACCGAUAGCGCACAAGUAGAGUGAUCGAAAGAUGAAAAGCACUUUGAAAAGAGGGUUAAACAGCACGUGAAAUUGUUGAAAGGGAAGCGCCUGUGGCCAGACGUGCGCCCCGCGGACCACCCGCCGGUUUCCGGCGGGGCACGCCGCGGGUGCGCAGGCCAGCAUCGGCUUCCCCAGGGGGACAAAGGCCGCGGGAACGUAGCUCCUUCGGGAGUGUUAUAGCCCGCGGCGUCAUGCCCCUGGGGGGGCCGAGG
rnacentral:rRNA from 1 species